rnacentral:rRNA from 1 species
UAGUCCACGCCGUAAACGAUGAUAACUGGUUAUGAGCGAUACAUUGUUCGUGACUGAGCGAAAGCAUUAAGUUAUCCACCUGGGAGUACGCCGGCAACGGUGAAACUCAAAGGAAUUGACGGGGGCCCGCACAAGCGGAGGAACAUGUGGUUUAAUUCGAUGAUACGCGAGGAACCUUACCCGGGCUUAAAUGGGGCAUGACCGUUCUAGAGAUAGGAUUUCCCUUCGGGGCAUGCUUCAAGGUGCUGCAUGGUUGUCGUCAGCUCGUGCCGUGAGGUGUCGGGUUAAGUCCCAUAACGAGCGCAACCCCUACCGUUAGUUGCCAACGAGUCAAGUCGGGGACUCUAGCGGGACUGCCACCGUAAGGUGAGAGGAAGGUGAGGAUGACGUCAAAUCAUCAUGGCCCUUACGACCAGGGCUAGACACGUGCUACAAUGGCCGGUACAAUGGGUUGCUACCUAGCGAUAGGAUGCUAAUCUCAAAAAACCGGUCUCGGUUCGGAUAGGAGUCUGCAACUCGACU